AAAAAUGAAUCUUGCGAGGUCCUUGUGGCCUUGCUUGGUGUUUCGCUCGCGUUAAGCGAGCCUGAAACCCAAACCCAAUUGUGAACUGUAAUUUGUCUUUGGCGGUGGGGUGUUGAAGUGGGGAGGGUCUCCUCAUCUUCAAGCCUGUCCAGCAGCUCGUAUCGUUGAAAAACGAGGGAGCGGCCGAGGGCAAGCCGCCAUACAUUUCCAAACGCUUUUGCUAGUGUUUUCUGUCUCACCUAUUUUUGUAUGUAUGUAAUAUACAAAUA
rnacentral:misc_RNA from 1 species